UUAUCUACAAGAUCAACCACAAGGUGAACAGGGAAAAAGCAGUUGAUUUCUCCAAUCUACACAUGGCCAGAGUCGGCCACUCACCUCAGGGUCCAAAACAUAAUACAACUUUAUAGGCCUACACAGCAAAAGGUGUCAACCUCAAAACAGCAGGGACAGGAAGUAGAUCAGCCUCAGCCUCCAUUAAGAACCUUUGCCCUGGGUGAGGCAAAGAGAAAGAAGCAGGAAGGGACUUUACCAGGCAAGGAGAGACCAAAUGACCUUCCAAGAACAGACCUCUUCCUAAGCAAGGCUGAUUAUUGGCAUAAGGCUGUUACCCCAAACACUGAGAGUGGAAAGACCUGAUUAAACCUGUAGAAAUACAGUGGGGUGAGGGCACUAAUAGCCUAUCCACCUGGAGCUCAACUCACGCAUACUCUCCCUGUUUUUCCAUGUCUUGGACAAAUGGAGUACCAGAUAUGGCCCACCUCCCCCAUACCACCUCGGCCUCUUGCAGGCAUCUCUUCAUCUGAGUGGAUCCUCCUAAGGCACAAAGUGAACUUCUAGCACACAGUAACUGCCUUUACAACAGUGACUCCUCAAUGUCACACACAGUUAUCUCUACCCCUGUUGUUUGAGGGUGACAAAGAGGAUGUCAAAGACUGGGUGAAAUUAAUCCUAAAAGGUAAGAAAAGUUCAAUGGGCAGAAAAGAAAAGAUGUUCCUAGAAGAGGAAGCAGCUUUUACAAAGAUUUCAAGUCAAAAAAAGCAACAUGUUUGUUAGAGAACUGUGAGCAAUUUAUUCAAGCUAGAACACGAGGAAGGAGUGGCAGCAGACAAGGCAUGAAGAGCCAGAAUGAGAACUCUAUGCAAGUUCUAUGCAACUUCAACAACUUAUUUCUAUUGUUACCUUAUGGGACUGUAUUCUCAACAAAAAUUUAUUGAAUGAAUAAAUGAAUGAGUAAGAA